CGGACAGUUCUCAGGGCAGUGAAAUGUCCACUCCUUGCCCUCAAACUGCAAGCACAGCACCUCGGUGUGGAGAUCUGUCGACACCUAGAUCUCGACAUGCAGCAGGAGGUUGUCCCAUGGAUGGCUAUCGCUCUAGGUCCAGAGGUAGGUCCAGCAGAGGAUACAGACACAGGUCCAGAUCACG